AUAUGGAGGAUGCAAGCGUUAUCCGGAUUUAUUGGGUUUAAAGGGUUCGUAGGCGGAAAAUUAAGUCAGUGGUGAAAGCCUGCAGCUCAACUGCAGAACUGCCAUUGAUACUGAUUUUCUUGAAUUUAUAUGAAGUGGGCGGAAUGCGUCAUGUAGCGGUGAAAUGCACAGAUAUGACGCAGAACACCAAUUGCGAAGGCAGCUCACUAAUGUAAUAUUGACGCUGAGGAACGAAAGCAUGGGGAGCGAACAGGAUUAGAAACCCUAGUAGUCC
rnacentral:rRNA from 1 species